AACCCGCCUGCACGAAGCCGGAGUUGCUAGUAAUCGCGAAUCAGAAUGUCGCGGUGAAUGCGUUCCCGGGUCUUGUACACACCGCCCGUCACACCAUGGAAGUUGGGGGUGCCCAAAGCCGGCAAGCAAAUAUGCUGUCUAAGGCAAAACCAAUGACUGGGGUGAAGUCGUAACAAGGUAUC
rnacentral:rRNA from 1 species